UACGUAGGGGGCGAGCGUUGUCCGGAAUUAUUGGGCGUAAAGGGCGUGUAGGCGGCCGAUCAAGUCUGGUGUGAAAAUCCGGGGCUUAACCCCGGAAGUGCAUUGGAAACUGGUUGGCUUGAGUGCAGGAGAGGAAAGUGGAAUUCCCAGUGUAGCGGUGAAAUGCGUAGAUAUUGGGAGGAACACCAGUGGCGAAGGCGACUUUCUGGACUGCAACUGACGCUGAGGCGCGAAAGCUAGGGGAGCAAACAGGAUUAGAUACCCCCGUAGUCC
rnacentral:rRNA from 1 species